AUGCAUGUCAACAUCAGAAGCCUCCUCCCUAAGUUUGUUUUACUCACUGCUCUAGCACACUCUGCUAACCCUGAUGUCCUUGCUGUGUCUGAAUCCUGGCUCAGGAAGGCCACCAAAAAUUCAGAGAUUUCCAUACCCAACUAUAACAUCUUCCGUCAAGAUAGAACUGCCAAAGGGGGGGGAGUUGCAGUCUACUGCAGAGAUAGCCUGCAAAGUAAUGUCAUACUUUCCAGGUCCAUACCCAAACAGUUCGAACUACUAAUUUUGAAAAUUACUCUCUCCAGAAAUAAGUCUCUCACUGUUGCCGCCUGCUACCGACCUCCCUCAGCUCCCAGCUGUGCCCUGGACACCAUUUGUGAAUUGAUCGCCCCCCAUCUAGCUUCAGAGUUUGUUCUGUUAGGUGACCUAAACUGGGAUAUGCUUAACACCCCGGCAGUCCUACAAUCUAAGCUAGAUGCCCUCAAUCUCACACAAAUCAUCAAGGAACCCACCAGGUACAACCCUAACUCUGUAAACAAGGGCACCCUCAUAGACGUCAUCCUGACCAACUGGCCCUCCAAAUACACCUCCGCUGUCUUCAACCAGGAUCUCAGCGAUCACUGCCUCAUUGCCUGUAUCCGCUACGGAGCCGCAGUCAAACGACCACCCCUCAUCACUGUCAAACGCUCCCUAAAGCACUUCUGUGAGCAGGCCUUCCUAAUCGACCUGGCCCAGGUAUCCUGGAAGGACAUUGACCUCAUCCCGUCAGUUGAGGAUGCCUGGUCAUUCUUUAAAAGUAACUUCCUCACCAUUUUAGAUAAGCAUGCUCCGUUCAAAAAAUGCAGAACUAAGAACAGAUACAGCCCUUGGUUCACCCCAGACCUGACUGCCCUCGACCAGCACAAAAACAUCCUGUGGCGGACUGCAAUAGCAUCGAAUAGUCCCCGUGAUAUGCAACUGUUCAGGGAAGUCCGGAACCAAUACACGCAGUCAGUCAGGAAAGCUAAGGCCAGCUUCUUCAGGCAGAAGUUUGCAUCCUGUAGCUCCAACUCCAAAAAGUUCUGGGACACUGUGAAGUCAAUGGAGAACAAGAGCACCUCCUCCCAGCUGCCCACUGCACUGAGGCUAGGUAACACGGUCACCACCGAUAAAUCCAUGAUUAUCGAAAACUUCAAUGAGCAUUUCUCAACGGCUGGCCAUGCCUUCCGCCUGGCUACUUCAACCUCGGCCUACAGCCCCGCCCCCCCCGCUGCUCCUCGCCCAAGCCUCUCCAGGUUCUCCUUUACCCAAAUCCAGAUAGCAGAUGUUCUGAAAGAGCUGCAAAACCUGGACCCGUACAAAUCAGCUGGGCUUGACAAUCUGGACCCUCUAUUUCUGAAACUAUCCGCCACCAUUGUCGCAAUCCCUAUUACCAGCCUGUUCAACCUCUCUUUCAUAUCGUCUGAGAUCCCCAAGGAUUGGAAAGCUGCCGCAGUUAUCCCCCUCUUCAAAGGGGGAGACACCCUGGACCCAAACUGUUACAGACCUAUAUCCAUCCUGCCCUGCCUAUCUAAGGUCUUCGAAAGCCAAGUCAACAAACAGGUCACUGACCAUCUUGAAUCCCACUGUACCUUCUCCGCUGUGCAAUCUGGUUUCCGAGCCGGUCACGGGUGCACCUCAGCCACACUCAAGGUACUAAACGAUAUCAUAACCGCCAUUGAUAAAAGACAGUACUGUGCAGCCGUCUUCAUCGACCUUGCCAAGGCUUUCGACUCUGUCAAUCACCAUAUUCUUAUCGGCAGACUCAGUAGCCUCGGUUUUUCGGAUGACUGCCUUGCCUGGUUCACCAAUUACUUUGCAGACAGAGUUCAGUGUGUCAAAUCGNNNNNNNNNNAUUGCAAAAAUCGCUGA
rnacentral:lncRNA from 13 species